GCCUCAUUAGCUCAGUUGGUUAGAGCGACGGACUGUUAAUCCGCAGGUCCCUGGUUCGAGUCCAGGAUGGGGCG
rnacentral:tRNA from 3 species